rnacentral:rRNA from 1 species
UCAGGAUGAACGCUAGCGACAGGCUUAACACAUGCAAGUCGAGGGGCAGCACAGGUAGCAAUACCGGGUGGCGACCGGCGCACGGGUGAGUAACGCGUAUGCAACUUGCCUAUCAGAGGGGGAUAACCCGGCGAAAGUCGGACUAAUACCGCAUGAAGCAGGGAUCCCGCAUGGGAAUAUUUGCUAAAGAUUCAUCGCUGAUAGAUAGGCAUGCGUUCCAUUAGGCAGUUGGCGGGGUAACGGCCCACCAAACCGACGAUGGAUAGGGGUUCUGAGAGGAAGGUCCCCCACAUUGGUACUGAGACACGGACCAAACUCCUACGGGAGGCAGCAGUGAGGAAUAUUGGUCAAUGGCCGAGAGGCUGAACCAGCCAAGUCGCGUGAGGGAUGAAGGUUCUAUGGAUCGUAAACCUCUUUUAUAAGGGAAUAAAGUGCGGGACGUGUCCCGUUUUGUAUGUACCUUAUGAAUAAGGAUCGGCUAACUCCGUGCCAGCAGCCGCGGUAAUACGGAGGAUCCGAGCGUUAUCCGGAUUUAUUGGGUUUAAAGGGUGCGUAGGCGGCCUUUUAAGUCAGCGGUGAAAGUCUGUGGCUCAACCAUAGAAUUGCCGUUGAAACUGGGGGGCUUGAGUAUGUUUGAGGCAGGCGGAAUGCGUGGUGUAGCGGUGAAAUGCAUAGAUAUCACGCAGAACCCCGAUUGCGAAGGCAGCCUGCCAAGCCAUUACUGACGCUGAUGCACGAAAGCGUGGGGAUCAAACAGGAUUAGAUACCCUGGUAGUCCACGCAGUAAACGAUGAUCACUAGCUGUUUGCGAUACACUGUAAGCGGCACAGCGAAAGCGUUAAGUGAUCCACCUGGGGAGUACGCCGGCAACGGUGAAACUCAAAGGAAUUGACGGGGGCCCGCACAAGCGGAGGAACAUGUGGUUUAAUUCGAUGAUACGCGAGGAACCUUACCCGGGUUUGAACGCAUUCGGACCGAGGUGGAAACACCUUUUCUAGCAAUAGCCGUUUGCGAGGUGCUGCAUGGUUGUCGUCAGCUCGUGCCGUGAGGUGUCGGCUUAAGUGCCAUAACGAGCGCAACCCUUGCCACUAGUUACUAACAGGUAAAGCUGAGGACUCUGGUGGGACUGCCAGCGUAAGCUGCGAGGAAGGCGGGGAUGACGUCAAAUCAGCACGGCCCUUACAUCCGGGGCGACACACGUGUUACAAUGGCGUGGACAAAGGGAGGCCACCUGGCGACAGGGAGCGAAUCCCCAAACCACGUCUCAGUUCGGAUCGGAGUCUGCAACCCGACUCCGUGAAGCUGGAUUCGCUAGUAAUCGCGCAUCAGCCAUGGCGCGGUGAAUACGUUCCCGGGCCUUGUACACACCGCCCGUCAAGCCAUGGGAGCCGGGGGUACCUGAAGUCCGUAACCGAAAGGAUCGGCAUAGGGUAAAACUGGU